rnacentral:tRNA from 1 species
CUUAGAUGGACUUUUAUAUAGUCCCAUAAACA